rnacentral:rRNA from 1 species
UACAGAGGGUGCGAGCGUUGUCCGGAAUCACUGGGCGUAAAGGGCGCGUAGGUGGCGCUCCAAGUCUGUGGUGAAAGCUCGAUGCUCAACAUCGAGUCGGCCAUAGAGACUGGAGGGCUCGAGCACUGUAGGGGCAGAUGGAAUUCCAGGUGUAGCGGUGAAAUGCGUAGAUAUCUGGAGGAAUACCGGUGGCGAAGGCGGCAUCCUGGACCGACAUUGACGCUGAACGGCGAAAGCUAGGGGAGCAAACGGG